UUCAAAUUGACCUUUCUUAUCUUCAAACCCCUUGUGUUAUUGAACUUUGUGUGAAGUAAAGUAUAAAAGAUAGGACUCCACAUUGACUCUCACAAAAUCUACACUGAAGUUCUGAAAGCAAAGAUUUGACAAGAAGAUUCAUCAUGGCAGUCAUGAGAGCGCUUGUGCUUCUUUUCUUGGUCUUUUCUGUUGAGAAUGCAGCAGCUCAACACUGCCGAUAUGGAUGGUCACAUUUUGGUGUGAAAUGCUACAAAUUCUUCUCUGAGUUAGUUGACUGGGUCACAGCUGAGAAAAACUGUCAAUCUGUUGAUGCAAAUCUUGCAUCGGUGCACACUAGAGGGGAAAACAACUUUCUUCUGAGUCUUGUGUCUGGUGACACACCUGUUUGGAUUGGUGGCCAUGAUGGUGAAAUGGUUUAUAAAUGGCUGUGGACUGAUGGAUCUCCAUUUGUCUUUACCAACUGGUGCUCUGGAGAACCUAACAAUUUUAAUGAUAGCGAGCGCUGCCUGGAUAUAAACUAUAGCAUCGCUGACGUCAUCAGCGUCUGGGCGCGCUCACGAGCUCUCUGCUGUUGCUAGCUUGCUGCUGCAUUAAAACUAGAGAUUCAUCUUUUUGGCACAACGCCAAAGUUCGCCAGAGUUCACGCGGGCGCGGAAUCUCACAUGCUCACAUGAGAUAGCCGUUGCUGGAAUGAUGACAUCUGUUAUAGAACAAAGAGCUACAUUUGUGCCAAACCCCGAAAUGCAGCAUAAAGUUAAAACAACUUUCGCAAGUCAAUUCAAUCUAGUUUUGGCUUUAAAAGUUGACAUAACUAAUAAAAAUCAAGUUGAAAGUUGAGUUAAAGUAACAUAAAAAUACAGUAUAUGUUUAAAAUUUGACAAAAAGCUGCAUAUUUUUACAGUGUGGAAAAUUGAUUUAUUUCAAAAGAUUGUACAUUAUGCAUGCCUAUUAUUUUUUUAAAAUCUUUAAAAUAUCUUUGAAAUUAUCUUUAAAAAUGAAUGAACAUUUCUGAAAACUUCUCAGAUUAAUAAACCCAAAUGUUGUGCAUCCUAAUGGCAUGGAUUAUACUUCUUAA